rnacentral:rRNA from 1 species
UACGUAGGGACCGAGCGUUGUCCGGAAUCAUUGGGCGUAAAGAGCGUGUAGGCGGCUAUUUAAGUCCUGCGUGAAAUCCUGCGGCUCAACCGCAGACGGUCGUGGGAAACUGGAUGGCUAGAGUGCGGGGAGAGGAGAGUGGAAUUCCCGGUGUAGCGGUGAAAUGCGCAGAUAUCAGGAGGAACACCAGUGGCGAAGGCGACUACCCUGGCCUGUUCUUGACGCUGAGGCGCGAAAGCUAGGGGGAGCAAACGGG